rnacentral:rRNA from 1 species
CCUACGGGAGGCAGCAGUGGGGAAUAUUGGACAAUGGGGGGAACCCUGAUCCAGCCAUGCCGCGUGUGUGAAGAAGGCCCUCGGGUUGUAAAGCACUUUCAGUGAGGAAGAACGCCUGGUGGUUAAUACCCAUCAGGAAAGACAUCACUCACAGAAGAAGCACCGGCUAACUCCGUGCCAGCAGCCGCGGUAAUACGGAGGGUGCGAGCGUUAAUCGGAAUUACUGGGCGUAAAGCGCGCGUAGGUGGCUUGAUAAGCCGGUUGUGAAAGCCCCGGGCUCAACCUGGGAACGGCAUCCGGAACUGUCGAGCUAGAGUGCAAGAGAGGAAGGUAGAAUUCCCGGUGUAGCGGUGAAAUGCGUAGAGAUCGGGAGGAAUACCAGUGGCGAAGGCGGCCUUCUGGACUGACACUGACACUGAGGUGCGAAAGCGUGGGUAGCAAACAGGAUUAGAUACCCCAGUAGUC